rnacentral:rRNA from 1 species
GACGAACGCUGGCGGCGUGCUUAACACAUGCAAGUCGAACGGAAAGGCCCUGCUUUUGUGGGGUGCUCGAGUGGCGAAAGGGUGAGUAACACGUGAGUAACCUGCCCUUGACUUUGGGAUAACUUCAGGAAACUGGGGCUAAUACCGGAUAGGAGCUCCUGCUGCAUGGUGGGGGUUGGAAAGUUUCGGCGGUUGGGGAUGGACUCGCGGCUUAUCAGCUUGUUGGUGGGGUAGUGGCUUACCAAGGCUUUGACGGGUAGCCGGCCUGAGAGGGUGACCGGCCACAUUGGGACUGAGAUACGGCCCAGACUCCUACGGGAGGCAGCAGUGGGGAAUAUUGCACAAUGGGCGGAAGCCUGAUGCAGCAACGCCGCGUGCGGGAAGACGGCCUUCGGGUUGUAAACCGCUUUCGCCUGUGACGAAGCGUGAGUGACGGUAAUGGGUAAAGAAGCACCGGCUAACUACGUG